UCUCUCUCUCUAUCUCUCUCGGCUCUGUCUACUCCGGAAUCUUCCACACUGCUUCUGUGGAAAAUGAAUACGGCAUUGUUUUGAUGAAAGCAAGGAUGACUAAAAAGGGAAAAUCUGAUGCGAAUGUAGCAAAUGGGGAGUUGAUAGAUACUCUUGUGAUUCUUUCUAGUGACCUUGUCCAAGUUGUUACAAAGGGAGUUUUACUUCCAGCUGAUGGUGUUGCUGGAAAUAUGUCUGGUGACAGAACUGAAGCUGUUACGGGUAUUGCUUCUUCU